UGGGGAAUAUUGCACAAUGGGCGAAAGCCUGAUGCAGCGACGCCGCGUGAGGGAUGACGGCCUUCGGGUUGUAAACCUCUUUCGACAGGGACGAAGCGCAAGUGACGGUACCUGUAGAAGAAGCACCGGCCAACUACGUGCCAGCAGCCGCGGUAAUACGUAGGGUGCGAGCGUUGUCCGGAAUUACUGGGCGUAAAGAGCUUGUAGGCGGUUUGUCGCGUCGUCUGUGAAAACUCACAGCUCAACUGUGAGCUUGCAGGCGAUACGGGCAGACUUGAGUACUGCAGGGGAGACUGGAAUUCCUGGUGUAGCGGUGAAAUGCGCAGAUAUCAGGAGGAACACCGGUGGCGAAGGCGGGUCUCUGGGCAGUAACUGACGCUGAGAAGCGAAAGCGUGGGUAGCGAACAGGAUUAGAUACCCUGGUAGUCCACGCCGUANCGGUGGGUACUAGGUGUGGGUUUCCUUCCACGGGAUCCGUGCCGUAGCUAACGCAUUAAGCACCCCGCCUGGGGAGUACGGCCGCAAGGCU
rnacentral:rRNA from 1 species